ACGAAGGGUGCAAGCGUUAAUCGGAAUUACUGGGCGUAAAGGGUGCGUAGGCGGUUCGUUAAGUCUGUCGUGAAAUCCCCGGGCUCAACCUGGGAAUUGCAAUGGAUACUGGCAGGCUGGAGUACGGUAGGGGAAGGUGGAAUUCCCGGUGUAGCAGUGAAAUGCGUAGAGAUCGGGAGGAACACCAGUGGCGAAGGCGGCCUUCUGGACCAGUACUGACGCUCAUGCACGAAAGCGUGGGGAGCAAACAGGA
rnacentral:rRNA from 1 species